GAAAUGCGAUAAGUAAUGCGAAUUGCAGAAUUUCCGUGAGUCAUCGAAUCUUUGAACGCACAUUGCGCCCACUGGUAUUCCGGUGGGCAUGCCUGUUCGAGCGUCAUUAUCCUCCCUCAAACCCCGGGUUUGGUGUUGGACCCAAGUUGUGUGAACAACUGGUCUCAAAGACAAUGACGGCGUCCGUGGGACCCUCGGUGCAACGAGCUUUUAGGAGCACGCAUCGAGUUGCAAGGACCUUCCGGGCCGGUCUCCUUUACCAUUUUACAAGGUUGACCUCGGAUCAGGUAGGAAUACCCGCUGAACUUAA
rnacentral:misc_RNA from 1 species